rnacentral:rRNA from 1 species
AUUGAACGCUGGCGGCAUGCCUAACACGUGCAAGUCGAACGGCAGCACGGCAGUAGCAAUACUGUGGGUGGCGAGUGGCGGACGGGUGAGGAAUACGUCGGAAUCUGCCCAGUCGUGGGGGAUAACUAGCCGAAAGGUUAGCUAAUACCGCAUACGACCGAGAGGUGAAAGCGGGGGACCGCAAGGCCUCGCGCGAUUGGAUGAGCCGACGUCGGAUUAGCUAGUUGGUGGGGUAAAGGCCCACCAAGGCGACGAUCCGUAGCUGGUCUGAGAGGAUGAUCAGCCACACUGGUACUGAGACACGGACCAGACUCCUACGGGAGGCAGCAGUAAGGAAUAUUGGUCAAUGGAGGCAACUCUGAACCAGCCAUGCCGCGUGCAGGAUGACGGCCCUAUGGGUUGUAGACUGCUUUGUACCAGAGAAACCUAUCUACGUGUAGAUAGCUGAUAGUAUGGUAAGAAUAAGCAUCGGCUAACUUCGUGCCA